GAUGAACGCUAGCGGCAGGCCUAAUACAUGCAAGUCGGACGGUAAAUGGCCCUUCGGGGCUAUGAGAGUGGCGCACGGGUGCGUAACGCGUAUGCAACCUACCCAAUGCUGGCGGAUAGCCCGGAGAAAUUCGGAUUAAGCCGUCGUGAGGAGCGGAGAGGGCAUCCUCCGAGGUUGAAAACUCCGGUGGUUUGAGAUGGGCAUGCGUUGUAUUAGCUAGUUGGUGAGGUAACGGCUCACCAAGGCGACGAUACAUAGGGGGACUGAGAGGUUAACCCCCCACACUGGUACUGAGACACGGACCAGACUCCUACGGGAGGCAGCAGUGAGGAAUAUUGGUCAAUGGACGCAAGUCUGAACCAGCCAUGCCGCGUGCAGGAAGACGGCUCUAUGAGUUGUAAAACUGCUUUUGAUAAGGGUAAACCUCGGGACUGUCCCGAGCUGCAAGUAUUAUACGAAUAAGGAUCGGCUAACUCCGUGCCAGCAGCCG
rnacentral:rRNA from 1 species